rfam:Perkinsela sp. CCAP 1560/4 XT18scaffold_150, whole genome shotgun sequence.
AACCUGGUUGAUUCUGCCAGUAGUCAUAUGCUUGUUUCAAGGAUUAAGCCAUGCAAGCCUAAGAGUAACCUAUUUCACAGGAGGUCUGCGAACGGCUCAUUAUAUCAGAGAUAAUUCACCGGGAAAAUAGCAGCUCACGCUGCCCAAUGGAUAACUUCGCGAAACGCGAAGCUAAUACAUGCAUGAAACGCAGCGCCCUCCAGUUGAGCGGGCGGGGGAAACCCCGGCCGCGGGGGGCCUGUGCGAAUGGUCGCUACGAAGAUCAACGCCGCUCGCGCGGCAGAGUCCAAGAGCGAUGAAUCAGACCAUUCAGCGAAAGCGCGCUUCGGCGCGCGUGUCCCGACAAGUCUCUGCCCUAUCAGCUCUGAUGGUAGUGUAUUGGACUACCAUGGCGAUAACGGGUACGGGGAAUUAGGGUUCGAUUCCGGAGAGGGAGCCUGAGAGAUAGCUACCACUUCUACGGAGGGCAGCAGGCGCGUAAAUUGCCCAAUGCCAAAUCGGCGAGGCAGCGAAGAAAAAUAGCGACCCCGCCUCUUCGGAGCGCGGGGAUUGCAAUGGGUGGUACGUAAACCCACCAACGAGUAUCAAUUGGAGGACAAGUCUGGUGCCAGCACCCGCGGUAAUUCCAGCUCCAAUAGCGUAUAUUAAUGUUGCUGCUGUUAAAGGGUUCGUAGUUGGACUCAGGGCGGGGAGAUUCGCGCACAACCGUGCGCCUUCGCCCCCGCCCUGUCACAGACGGGGCCGCGUCCCGCCGCGAGCCUUCACUGGCGCGCGGCACCCGCAAGGGAUCGAGUGCGACACACUCACCGGACCGCCCGUCGUUCUCACCGUGAAUAAAACAGCGUGUUCAAAGCAGCCGUUCGGCCGCAUGACAAAGCAUGGAAUGACAGAGCAUCGACCAGCUGGUUGUGCUUUUGUUGGUUUUCCUACCUAGUUGGGUAACUCGCGGCGCCGCCGCGCCUCCGGGCGCGCGGCGCUCGCACGGGAUUAACGGGGGUUGUCGGGGGAAAACGUAUUCGGGCGUGAGAGGUGAAAUUCUUAGACCGCCCGGGGACGAACUUAUGCGAAGGCAUUUUCCAAGUAUACCUUCAUCAAUCAAGAACUAAAGUGUGGAGAUCGAAGAUGAUUAGAUACCAUUGUAGUCCACCACUGCAAACGAUGACGCCCAUGGAUCGGACAGUGUUCUACUCCGAUGGGAUCUUUUCGGCACUGCUCCCCUUCAACGCGAAAGCUGAGGCUAUGGUCUCAUGGGGAAGUACGUUCGCAAGGCUGAAACUUAAAGAAAUUGACGGAAUGGCACCACCAGACGUGGAGUGUGCGGUUUAAUUUGACUCAACACGGGAAACCUUACCAGGACAGGACAACGGAAGGAUUGACAGGCUGAUAGCCCUUUCUUGAUUCGUUUGACGGUGGUGCAUGGCCGCUUUUGGUCGGUGAAGUGAUUUGUUUGGUUGAUUCCUUUAACGGACGAGACCCAAUCCGCUUACUAGGGGCGCCAUCUCUGCGGGUCCCCCCGCUCCGGCGGGGUGGCCCGGAUAGCGACUCCUUCUUCGCGGCAUUCCAUGCGCCUUAGCAUGGUGGCAUUUUGGGCAACAGCAGGUCCGUGAUGCUCCUAAAUGUCCUGGGCGACACGCGCACUACAAUGACAAAGUGAAUGAGUGAAACCUUCGGGUCCUGCUCCGACAGGAGUGGGAAAACUUCGAAAACUAUGUCGUGCUUGGGAUCGAAGCUUGCAAUUAUUCUUCUUGAACGAGGAAUGUCUAGUAGACGUGCUUCAUCAAAGCACAUUGACUACGUCCCUGCCAUUUGUACACACCGCCCGUCGUUGUUACCGAUGUCAGUUUGAUACAGGUCAACGGACGGCGCCGGCGCCCACGGGCCCUCCGCCGGAAGUUGACCGAUAUUAAACUAGUAGAGGAAGCAAAAGUCGUAACAAGGUAGCUGUAGGUGAACCUGCAGCUGGAUCAUUA